UACGUAGGGGGCUAGCGUUGCUCGGAAUCACUGGGCGUAAAGGGUGCGUAGGCGGUUCUUUAAGUCAGGGGUGAAAUCCUGGAGCUCAACUCCAGAACUGCCUUUGAUACUGAGGAUCUUGAGUUCGGGAGAGGUGAGUGGAACUGCGAGUGUAGAGGUGAAAUUCGUAGAUAUUCGCAAGAACACCAGUGGCGAAGGCGGCUCACUGGCCCGAUACUGACGCUGAGGCACGAAAGCGUGGGGAGCAAACAGG
rnacentral:rRNA from 1 species